GUAUCGUUCAUGUAGAAAGAAUUUUGCUGAACUUAAUUUCAGCUCAUUUUGAGAGAUGAGAUGUGGCAUGUUCGACGACAAUUUGGAAGAUACAGCAAAA